GACGAACGCUGGCGGCGUGCUUAACACAUGCAAGUCGAACGGAAAGGCCCUGCUUUUGUUGGGUUCUUGAUUGGCGAACGGGUGAGUAACACGUGAGUAACCUGCCCUUUACUUUGGGAUAACUUCAGGAAACUGGGGCUAAUACCGGAUAUGAUCUCCUGCUCCAUGUUGGGGGUUGGAAAGUUUCGGCGGUUGGGGAUGUACUCGCGGGUUAUCAGCUUGUUGGUGGGGUAGUGGCUUACCAAGGCUUUGACGGGUAGCCGGCCUGAGAGGGUGACCGGCCACAUUGGGACUGAGAGACGGCCCAGACGCCUACGGGAGGCAGCAGUGGGGAAUAUUGCACAAUGGGGGGAAGCCUGAUGCAGCAACGCCGCGUGCGGGAUGACGGCCUUCGGGGUGUAAACAGCUUUCGCAUGUGACGAAGAGUGAGUGACGGUAAUGGGUAAAGAAGCACCGGCUAACUACGUG
rnacentral:rRNA from 1 species